GGGGGAGAUUGAUUUACCGGAAAUUGAUUUGCGAUGAUGACGUCAUCACCUCCUCGGCAGUCCGACGACGGAGGAGGAGGAUCGAAUUAUAUUCAACACCAAGUUACAAAAUUUGAUACCCUUCCUGGUGUAGCAAUCAGAUAUGGCGUUGAGGUGUCUGAUAUUAAGAAGUUGAAUGGGCUGGUUUCGGAUCUCCAAAUGUUUGCUCGAAAGACACUUCAAAUACCAUUACCUGGGAGGCAUCCACCAUCACCUGCUGUCUCAAAUGGUCAAGACACCCAAGGGCCAAGCAGCUCUGAGCAGAUCCCUCCGAGGAACAAAUACCCUAAUUUGUUUGGUUCAUUUCAAUCCCUGAAAUUGAAGUCUUCCUCCCAGCAAAGAGUUUCACCAGCCAUGAGCUCUUUACUAGGUUAUCAGGGCCCUAAACUGGCAGAUCAGAAAGUUGCAUCUGAAGGUUUUGAAAUGGCUGUCUAUCGGAAAGGAGUAUCACAU
rnacentral:misc_RNA from 1 species